rnacentral:tRNA from 1 species
GGUUCCAUAGUAUAGCGGUUAUCGCGUCUGCUUUACACGCAGAAGGCCUCCAGUUCGAUCCUGGAUGGAACCA